rnacentral:ncRNA from 1 species
ACGACAAUAGCAAACCCGGCGAAAGCCGGCGACGCAAAGCUAUAGGGCCUUACCCCCGCAGAAAACAGGGUCUCCUGUUCGGGGCUGGCAGCCAGUUACCGA